GUGCGCGAGUUAAACUUAGUGACUAUGUGGCUGAAGAUGUCUGCUCCCGGUUUAGGGAAGCCACACAGGUACACAAUGAAGCAGUUAAAUCAAUUGAGAUUGUUCGAUGUCGUUAGUGUGGCCAGAAGCGUAUCUAUAUUUUUAAACUAAGAGGCACAAUCUCUAAGCCAAAGAGAUUCGCUGCUGAAAUGUCCAACCGAUGUGGAGAACAAGCCUCCAAGGACGUUCAUUCGCAGAUACGGACGAACCCCCGCUCGCUGGUUCUAGCUGUGAAGAGGGCGAACCGGAUGAGUCCGAGCCAUCCACUUCUACCGAUGAUGACAGCUCCCUGGGUGGACAAGAACAGGUGGUCGCACCAGGUUUAGCCACACCUCCAAACAAUGCUGGCAGAGACCCUACUAUCUGCGACCCGGACUCAGUUUCGUCGCGAUAUGAAUGGAUCUUUACGGGAUAUGUUAGUGCAGGCUGGGCCAUAUCAGGAUACGGUAGGGAAUUUCCCAAGAGAUGAGAUGCAACGAAAAUGUUCGGUGGCCAACUACAAAUGAGGAUGGCGAACGGGGAGAGAGUGGAGAGACCAUGGCUCGUUAAUUCCAAGCAAAAUGAUGCGGCCUUCUAUUUUUGCUGUUUUUCACGAGGGCAAAUCUGCGCUGGUCAUGGAUGGAACCAGGGACUGGGAAGAAUCUGUGCCACCUCCUCAGCUCGCAUGAGAAGUCGCAUGACCGCUUUGAUAGUAUCCAGAGGUGGAAGGAGCUGGAGAUCAGGCUGGUGUCCAAGCAAGCUAUCGAUGCCCAAGCCCAACGGGCUAUUGACAGAGAGACUCUCCAUUGGAAGACCAUGGACAGCUACCGAGAGAAAACAUCGCUGACUGCAAUGCAGCAUCACAGCAGAGGGAAGAGACCACUCUAGGCGGGCCACGAAUUGAAGAAAUGCUGAAAUGUAUGUUGGACAAUCAAAUUCGGUGGCUUUGCUGGGUCUCCAGUCCAACUGUAAGAUUGCUUCCCUCCUGCAAUAGUUUGUACAUGUCAUCAGUGGGGCUAUUGAGCGAGUCAUAUACCCUUACCUGCAAGCUGUCCUGGAUGACUACUCUGUCUCCAAUGCCCAGGUGAAAGCAGACAGACACAAGGUCUAUGGAGCAAUCCUGGUGGCAGUGGAGCACCUGCUAAAGAUUAGAGCCCUGUCUCUGUCCCUGCCAGCAGAGGGGGCACCCAGCCACACUUCAGGAGUGUGAUUUCCGCCGGGCUCAGCCUCUCUCCGAGGCCACCCUGGGCAUCGCCAGUCCCCUGCAGGGACCUGGGGGAGCUGGAACCCCCUGGAAUGACUGGACCACAUCCCCCUGCCCGUCAUGUACUGUGAGCAGGUGGUUAAGAGGGUUGGGCUAGUAACCAAAAGGUUGUUGGUUCGAAUCACCGAGCCGACAAGGUGAAAUUUUCUGUCUGUGCCUUUGAGCAAGACACUCAAGUCUAAUUGCACCUGUAAAGCACAGCUGUCGCUAUUUUAUAUUAUUUAUAAAUAUUUAAUUUAGUUGCAUAUAUUAUUAAGUUGCAAACAAUAACUGUACAAUUUACAAUGCACUUCUCUGUGCAAACAGGUAAUUACUUUCUAUCAUCUUACACAUUGUCCUUGGGAUUGGUGGACAGUCAAACUGAAAGGAAGCAACUUCUAUUGCUUAGGGAUGGAUCGACAUUUACAUAAUGGGUACCUGAUGGAAAAUGUUUUAAUAUUUCAGUCGAGGGGUUUCAUUUAAAAAAAAAUCUAGUCCAGGGGAGGGUCAUGUCAUUUAUGAAAUGUCAAUAUUUCUCAGUUGUUUAUUAGGCUAUAUAUACACA